rnacentral:lncRNA from 1 species
UAGCUGUUUUGUUUUGACAAUUGUGGGCAAACAAUAAAAGGUUUUGAGUUGAUUCUUGUUGCAUUGGAUUUUUGGUAAUUUUAUCUUUCCAACAAGUAUUUUUGGAGAAUUUUUGGACACGGAUAGCUAGGUCGUUUAAGGGGUCAAAGUUGGCACAUUUUAUUUCUCCGCGGGCCCACGCGUCAGCACUUCUUCUCCUUCCUCACGUCACGAGACGAACGCCGCUGGCCUGCAGGGGCCGAGCUCCACCUGGCCGACGCCCAUGGGAACUCCCCUCCCCUCCAAUCCUUGCGCCCGGGGGUGAGUCACCACGCCAUCCUUAUCCACGCCAUCCUCCUCCUAUAUAAAGCUCCCAACUCUUCCCUCCUCUUAUCCACCAUUACAGACCACAAACUCCAUUGUUCCCCAUUCUUUGCUGACCAAAUUUGUCACCGUGGUGAGCUCCUGGCUUGAUUCCUCGCGGCAAUAGCAUCCCCACAUCGUCGCGCCUCCGUUUUGCCCCUUCCAGGGCUCCCUCCCUCGCCGGACAACCCCCUCCACGGGAGCUCCUCCGCCGCCCCCUGCCUGCGUCGUUACUCCCUGCACCGUCCCUUCUUCCUCGUUGCCACGCCGCUAGUGAGCACCUCCUUGGCCCCGUGCGCCGCCCCUCUCCCUCCCCAAGUCGCCCCUUCUCUUUCCCCCACCUUCGGCCCAAGGCCAUGGCCGGCCUAGACGAUUAUGUACCGUGCGUGUGAUCUGUUAUGCGUGGGGGUCUCAUUGGAGAAGAAGAAGAAAGUGUAGGAGGUUAUGGGAGAAAUCCAGGGACCUUUGCGCAAUUAAAAUCUAGAUCCAGCGGCUAGUUUCCAAAUUGACCUUGGUUUUGUUUAUUUUUCCUAGAUCUAAAAGCUGAAACUUUGAAAGGGCACAGAAAAAUGUAGAAAAAUGGGAAAAAUAUGAAACUUGUUUUGCUAGGUUCUUGGUGAUGUGUAGUUUCAUCUACAAAUACCCAUAUGCAUGUUCUUGAUCAUUGUUUACCACUAGAUUUUAUUUGGUGUUUAAGCCUUUAAAUGCUUGGUAAAUCACCCAAAAAUGGUAAAAUAACAAAACCACCUCUGUUAGCUUUGUCACAUUGAGCUUGUGCAAGGAAAAAUAUUGGUGACCCUAGUUUAGAUAUUUUACACACUGUUUUAGAUUUAUCUUUGAAAUCUAGUGAAAGAUUUUACUUUUUGCAUAAGUAAUAGAAUUUGUUAGAGAAAAAUAUGAAACCACCUCUGUUAGAUCACCCAUGAAACAUACUUGCUAGGAAGAGUAAGGUUCACUGAAUGAAACAUGUUUUCCUUUUUAUGCAAAGUUAAAUACUAGAAAAAAAUUGAACAUAGAUGUCCUUCACCAAAAAUCGUGAAAAAUUCACUAUAACCUCUGUUGCACUUGUAUAACACAGUGUUGAAAUUUCAGAAACAAAUUCUCUGUAGAUUUUGAGAUAAAAAUAGUUAAGUGCAAUCAACCAUAGGAUCUUAAGUUAAUUUUAAUUGUUUUUGUAGAAGUCUACCGAGC